GGACCUAUCCAUCAACGGGAGUGACUUGGCGUGGGGACCAAAUUGGGCAGUAUUUGGGGACAUCUCUAUCUUCUAUGUAGAUUAUGGAGUAAUCAGUUCGCGAUCCUACGCUGACAAUGUCUACCCCGCUAAUUUGAUGUUCUUGUGCAUAAUUGAAUGCAGAGUUGAUGAAGCGCAGCUCAAUCUACUCGGAUACCGAUCCAUUAGCAAGGAUCUGCAUGUUACAUGUGAGACAGGCUAUCAACUUCACACCCUCAAGGAAGAAGUGGCCUGCGGGCCGGAUGGCAUCUGGAAGAAUUUACCACGUUGCAUAAGGAACAUCAUAUAGGAGACAACGGACCUCUUCUUCUGCAAUGUGGAUGGAUACUCCCAAUAGAAAUGAGUAUGCCCGGUGUGGAUGAGCAUUCCCAAUGCAGAUGACUAUUCCAGAAUGAAUGCUCUCUUUCUUGUUCAUUGUGUGCCUUGCAAUCAUCGCUUAACUUUUCACUCAUGCAUGUAGACAUAAUUAUAAGGAUAUGUUUACAUCGA